GGCUCAAGGCUGUGAGCACCAUGGCCUGGACUCCUCUGCUCCUCGUGCUCCUCUCUCACUGCACAGGGUCCCUCUCCCAGCCUGUGCUGACUCAGCCGCCCUCCCUCUCUGCAUCUCCGGGAGCCACAGCCAUACUCACCUGCACCCUGAGCAGUGGCUACAAUAUUGGCAGCUACCAUAUACGCUGGUUCCAGCAGAAUCCAGGGAGCCCGCCCAGAUUUCUCCUGAGAUAUAAGUCGGACUCAGAUAAGUACCACGUUUCUGGGGUCCCCAAGCGCUUCUCUGGAUCCAAAGACACGUCGGCCAACGUGGGGUUUCUGCUCAUCUCGGGGCUGCAGCCUGAGGACGAGGCUGACUAUUACUGCAAUGCAGAUCAUGGCAGUGGGAGCAGCUUUAGUCACGCACAGCGUCUCAGAUGA